CAGGUCUUGACAUCCUCUGACACUCCUAGAGAUAGGACUUUCCCCUUCGGGGGACAGAGUGACAGGUGGUGCAUGGUUGUCGUCAGCUCGUGUCGUGAGAUGUUGGGUUAAGUCCCGCAACGAGCGCAACCCUUGAUCUUAGUUGCCAUCAUUAAGUUGGGCACUCUAAGGUGACUGCCGGUGACAAACCGGAGGAAGGUGGGGAUGACGUCAAAUCAUCAUGCCCCUUAUGACCUGGGCUGCACACGUGCUACAAUGGGUAAUGACAGAGCGAUCCGAAUCCGCAAGGUGGAGGAAAUCGCAGAAAAUUACCCCCAGUUCAGAUUGCGGGCUGCAAUUCGCCCGCAUGAAGUUGGAAUCGCUAGUAAUCGCAUAUCAGCUAUGAUGCGGUGAAUAUGUUCCUGAGCCUUGUACACACCGCCCGUCAAGUCAUGGAAGCUGGUAGUACCCGAAGUCCGCUCAGCCGACCCGCAAGGGGGGCGGCGGCCGACGGUAAGACCGGUGACUGGGACU
rnacentral:rRNA from 1 species